rnacentral:rRNA from 1 species
GUCGAACGCUGGCGGCGUGCUUAACACAUGCAAGUCGAACGGAAAGGCCCUGCUUUUGUGGGGUGCUCGAGUGGCGAACGGGUGAGUAACACGUGAGUAACCUGCCCUUGACCUUGGGAUAACUUCAGGAAACUGGGGCUAAUACCGGAUAGGAGCUCCUGCUGCAUGGUGGGGGUUGGAAAGUUUCGGCGGUUGGGGAUGGACUCGCGGCUUAUCAGCUUGUUGGUGGGGUAGUGGCUUACCAAGGCUUUGACGGGUAGCCGGCCUGAGAGGGUGACCGGCCACAUUGGGACUGAGAUACGGCCCAGACUCUUACGGGAGGCAGCAGUGGGGAAUAUUGCACAAUGGGCGGAAGCCUGAUGCAGCAACGCCGCGUGCGGGAUGACGGCCUUCGGGUUGUAAACCGCUUUCGCCUGUGACGAAGCGUGAGUGACGGUAAUGGGUAAAGAAGCACCGGCUAACUACGUG